rnacentral:rRNA from 1 species
ACCUCACCAGGCCCGGACACCGGAAGGUUGACAGAUUGAGAGCUCUUUCUUGAUUCGGUGGGUGGUGGUGCAUGGCCGUUCUUAGUUGGUGGAGCGAUUUGUCUGGUUAAUUCCGAUAAACGAACGAGACUCUAGCCUGCUAACUAGGCGAUUUCCGGUACCCACAAUAGUGUUACCGGCGAUUCAAUUUCUUCUUAGAGGGACAGGCGGCUCCUAGCCGCACGAGACUGAGCAAUAACAGGUCUGUGAUGCCCUUAGAUGUCCUGGGCCGCACGCGCGCUACACUGAAGGAAUCAGCGUGUCUUCCCUGGCCGA